GUGCCUAAUACAUGCAAGUAGAACGCUGAAGACUUUAGCUUGCUAAAGUUGGAAGAGUUGCGAACGGGUGAGUAACGCGUAGGUAACCUGCCUACUAGCGGGGGAUAACUAUUGGAAACGAUAGCUAAUACCGCAUAACAGCAUUUAACCCAUGUUAGAUGCUUGAAAGGAGCAAUUGCUUCACUAGUAGAUGGACCUGCGUUGUAUUAGCUAGUUGGUGAGGUAACGGCUCACCAAGGCGACGAUACAUAGCCGACCUGAGAGGGUGAUCGGCCACACUGGGACUGAGACACGGCCCAGACUCCUACGGGAGGCAGCAGUAGGGAAUCUUCGGCAAUGGGGGCAACCCUGACCGAGCAACGCCGCGUGAGUGAAGAAGGUUUUCGGAUCGUAAAGCUCUGUUGUAAGAGAAGAACGUGUGUGAGAGUGGAAAGUUCACACAGUGACGGUAACUUACCAGAAAGGGACGGCUAACUACGUGCCAGCAGCCGCGGUAAUACGUAGGUCCCGAGCGUUGUCCGGAUUUAUUGGGCGUAAAGCGAGCGCAGGCGGUUUAAUAAGUCUGAAGUUAAAGGCAGUGGCUUAACCAUGGUUCGCUUUGGAAACUGUUAGACUUGAGUGCAGAAGGGGAGAGUGGAAUCCAUGUGUAGCGGUGAAAUGCGU
rnacentral:rRNA from 1 species